rnacentral:rRNA from 1 species
UACGUAGGAGGCGAGCGUUGUCCGGAUUUACUGGGCGUAAAGGGCACGUAGGCGGCCCCUUGAGUCCCGCGUGAAAUCUCCCGGCUCAACCGGGAGGGUGCGCGGGAUACUGGGGGGCUGGAGGGCAUCAGAGGGAAGCGGAAUCCCCGGUGUAGUGGUGAAAUGCGUAGAUAUCGGGGGGAACACCAGUGGCGAAGGCGGCUUACUGGUCCAUAACUGACGCUGAGGUGCGAAAGCGUGGGGAGCAAACAGG